rnacentral:rRNA from 1 species
UACGUAGGGGGCUAGCGUUGUCCGGAAUCAUUGGGCGUAAAGCGCGCGUAGGCGGCCCGGUAAGUCCGUUGUGAAAGUCAAAGGCUCAACCUUUGAAAGCCGAUGGAUACUGCCGGGCUGGAGUCCGGAAGAGGCGAGUGGAAUUCCUGGUGUAGCGGUGGAAUGCGCAGAUAUCAGGAGGAACACCAAUAGCGAAGGCAGCUCGCUGGGACGGUACUGACGCUGAGGCGCGAAAGCGAGGGGAGCGAACAGG